rnacentral:rRNA from 1 species
AUUGAACGCUGGCGGCAUGCCUUACACAUGCAAGUCGAACGGCAGCACGGGUGCUUGCACCUGGUGGCGAGUGGCGCACGGGUGAGUAAUACAUCGGAACAUGUCCUGUAGUGGGGGAUAGCCCGGCGAAAGCCGGAUUGAUACCGCAUACGAUCUACGGAUGACAGCGGGGGACCUUCGGGCCUCGCGCUUUAGGGUUAGCCGAUAGCUGAUUAGCUAGUUGGUGGGGUAAAGGCCUACCAAGGCGACGAUCAGUAGCUGGUCUGAGAGGACGACCAGCCACACUGGGACUGAGACACGGCCCAGACUCCUACGGGAGGCAGCAGUGGGGAAUUUUGGACAAUGGGCGAAAGCCUGAUCCAGCAAUGCCGCGUGUGUGAAGAAGGCCUUCGGGUUGUAAAGCACUUUUGUCCGGAAAGAAAUCCUUGGCUCUAAUACAGUCGGGGGAUGACGGUACCGGAAGAAUAAGCACCGGCUAACUACGUG